GAGGCGCAUGUAGGUGCUGUUGGGGGUGGACCUAGGUGCGGCGCACCUAGGGUUUUCUUCUUUUCUUUUUUGUUUUGUUGUUAGCUUUGGGCUAGGGUUUGUAAUGGACCAUCAGGUUUUUAUUUUGGGCUGAUUUUUUGUAAUUGGACUGGACCUUGGUUUUUUUUUUUUUGUUGUUGUUUAUUUUGUUUGGUUUAUUUUGUGUUUUAUAAUUGUGAUUUGGGCCCAAGCCAAAAUUGGCCUAUUACAAAAUCAAGAAAGACAGAAAAUAAACUAAGAAUAUGAUUGUGUUUUGAAAAAAAAAAGUACGACUUUCUUGUUUUUAUCAAUUUUGUUUCGUUAUUUCCUUGUACAACUCAUACUACUAUACUAAAAU
rnacentral:lncRNA from 1 species